rnacentral:lncRNA from 1 species
GCGUGCAUCCUGGGUGGGCGGGGUCUCACGUAACUGUCCGAAUCUCUGUCUAAUCGUGCCCCGAAACCCCACCCUAGCAGCUGGCGACUCGGAGACCACGUCCUCCUUCCCGCUCGGCCCUAGCUGAGUUUUUCCGCGGCGAAGCAGGAAGUAAACUGCUCCCGCUCCACUUCCCAGCUCAGUAACCGGUCGGGAAUGUUUCUUAGAACCCAUACCCCAUCUGUGUUCCCCAGACGAAGUCAGUCUAUGAUCCUGUAAUACUCCGUUCCUGGACUGUGAAAGUGAUGAUGACUACACAGUGGGUCAAGCACAUUGAGUUGUUUCGUUGAGUUUGCUUUGGUUUUGUAGCAGAGGCAAUAGGUGCCUUUCCAUCCAGAAAACUCUGCUCCCAAGAUCCCCUAUCAGGAUUAACUGCAUGGCGCCAGAUUGU